UUUUAGAAUAAUGUUAAAAUAAUUCAAUAAGUCGUGGUUAUAAAGACUUACAACCUCCGCUUGAGUUGCAUGACAUUUGCAGUGAAAUAUUAGUCUUGCAUGAAUGAUCGUUUUCAAGUACAUGUUAGUUGUCAACAGCACUUGCGCAGGGGUCUCAUUGUAUUUCUGUCCCCAGGUAUUCCGAGUAAGUCCCUCUCUGGGUUUGAGAAAGGCAUCGGACUUGAGCUGAAUAAAGUCCUCUGGGUUUAAUCCAGUGAAAGGCCUUGAAGACUGCACAGGUAACUUAAGCCUGGCAGCCCCAUGUUUUGUUUGGGGUUUAACUGUCAGGAUUGCCACAAGGCUUUUCUUACACAAGAUAUGCCCAUCAGUUUGCUAUAAAUGAGGAUGUGUGUUCGCUCCAGCACUUAUGGAUAAUGGCACAUGGCUGCUUAAUGUCUGCAAGUCUCCAGAGAAAGAACAUGAGGCUUACAGUGCAUUCAACUUGAGAGGAUGAAGUAAAUGCACUGGUUCCUGACAAAGCAGCUUGGAGUAAAAGGAACUGAGUCGUAUUCUGGGAAAUGAUGCAGACAAUUACAUUGAUAGAAGGCACAAUCUGCAAUAUCAAAACUUAUCUUACCCCUAAAAUGAUAAUUGCUACAUUUCCUUGACUUUAUUUUUACCUUGUUUUACUUGUUUUUUUUGUGAUUGUAAAAUUGUAGUUGCCUCAGG
ensembl:lncRNA